UACGGAGGGUGCAAGCGUUGUUCGGAUUUACUGGGCGUAAAGCGCGCGCAGGCGGGUGGACAAGUCGGAAGUGAAAUCCCAGGGCUCAACCCUGGGGCUGCUCCCGAAACUGUUCGCCUAGGGACUGGUAGAGGCUGGUAGAAUUCCCGGUGUAGCGGUGGAAUGCGUAGAGAUCGGGAAGAACACCUGCGGCGAAGGCGGGUUGCUGGGCUGAUACUGACGCUGAGGCGCGAAAGCCAGGGGAGCGAACGGG
rnacentral:rRNA from 1 species